UGAAAACUAGGUGUGACGGUGGUUGGUGAAAAAGCACAAGUACUAUGGAUCCAAAAUGCACAUACGUGACAUUCAUAAGAGAAGUCCUCAGCUUUCAUGCCGCAAGCAUCACAUAAAAACAAGGCUUUCCUAGGCCAAAAGGUAAAUUCGUGCUUGUGUCCAUCAUGACGAAUCAAUCGAUCCUUACAUGUCAAGCACACGUCAAAGUUACAAGAAAGACAAGUGUACGUGAACCAAUUGGACACGCGGUUACAAAUAUCACAAAUGGUCGUAUCCGUUCCAUAACUACCCAAACGUGCGUGGAGGGUAAGAGGAUGUUGAUCGUGUAGAGGGUGAUGAAUUUCAUCGGGUAAUUCUGCACAGGUUUUGUGCAGGUAGAAAUCACAACCAUCUCUAGUGCAUAAAUAUACUGCAGCAUGACCAGAGGUGAGGCGGCCUCCAACGACUGGAUUUCGACACCCAUAACACACAACUAAUUCCUUUCCAAUAUGUUGAAUUAGCUCCACCUGCUCUUUGAGGAUCAGUGAGUGCUCAUGGCUAACAUGUUGAAGCUCCAUCCCUAAGUUAAAAUGUAUGUGUGGAGAGUUAAUUUGAUAGUUUAAUUUGAGCAAAUUAAAUAGCGGAUCCCCUCCCUCCAUAUAUAUAUAUAUAUAUAUAAAUAUAAACGACUAUAUAUAUUUCAUUCUCCAAAAAUAUCCAAACUCUAUUUAAUAGUAACAACUACCAAUACAGCUAUUAAACAUGACUGACCAAUAAUGCAUGUCACAGCUAGCAAUAAAUGCAUGUCACAACUAGCAAUAAUUAUUAAUUCAUAUCAAUUUGAUCUUGUCAACCUUGAUAUACUUACGGAAGAGAAUUCGAUGGUGAGAGAAUAAUUUUUUAUCCUUUGAAGUUAAAGAGGAUAUAAUGGACGGUGAGAUUUAUCCCAAACUUUGGACGAUUCUGAUCGUUUAUUAGGGUGAGUGAAAAAUUCAAAAUUAAUUAUGUUUUAUUAAUUAUAUAUAUAUAAAACAAAAUACAACUUAACUGUCACUGCUCAGUUUUUACGUAUUGCUCAUGUGAAGAAUAAAACAUAUGAACCAGCUGCUCCAAGACAUUUUCAUACAAAGAUUCACCUCUCUGCUCCUUAGACAGAUCUUGGUUUGAAUCAAUAUGUUGAAUAAAAUUUUACUUGAAUCUCCUUGAUUUUAACCGUAAAUGUCCAAUUAUUAUACUACUACUAGUUAACAAAAUAAUGAUUCUCCUUCAAAUUUCAAUGUAGUCUGUUUGAAUAAAAAUUCUUGCAGAGUCCGCCAUUCUUGGGUCUACUUCCUCCUCGCAGAUCUCGCAGUAAAUAAUGCCUUGACAAAAGAAAGGAGGGUAUUUCAAGGGAAUGGGGUGAGGAUCCCAUCUAUGUCUGACCCUACUUGGAUAUUGUGCGCAAUCUAUAUGAAUUCUAAAACUGUUGCAGGUUUCACAAAUGAAUUCCAUGUACCGUGAAGAGAUAAAUCGGCAACAUGCCUUGCACCGAAAGUACUCGGAUGGUGCAUGUUGAACUAGAGGGUGCUUGUGAGAUUUAUGUUUGAUCUUGGUAGGUAGAAAAGCACAACCAGUAUCAACCGUGAAAUUACAAGUCUCGCACCGAAAAUAGAAUCCAUUGGUCGACAAGUUACAAGUGGUACAUUUGACGCAGUUAAAAAAAUUAUCAACUCUAUGCUUUGAGAGCGAAUGUUCCGGGUGGCGUGGGCAUUCUCCUACAGGCAACUCGGGUGGCAGCUCGGCACAAACUCUGUGAAGAAAGAUACUGCAUCCAAUACAGCCAUAAAAUGGAUGGGCAGUCGAGACGGGUUUUACACACCCAUCGCAAAGAAUUUCAUCAUCAUUAUUCUUAAAACUACUUUGAUCAAAUUCUUCCAGAAGGAGUAAUGCAUGCUCCCUAUGGCUCUCGUGGUAGAUUAAGUGAUCAGGCGUUGUUUCUAUGAUCAUUUUUUCAGUACCUUCUUCUUCGCCUAGAUUAAUAAUAUUGGUCUUGCCAAUAUGGUCUGUUAUUAGAUCCAAUAACGAUUCCUUAUUAUCCACCGGAAAGUGUAUCAAAUUAGGUAUGUCAUGGUCUGCUGCAAUCUCUUCUUCACAAUAUCUGAAACCACAAAUUAGUUAUAUAUGCCAUGCUAGAGUAGUAAGAAUUUCAAGUAAGCAUUAAUUGCUUAGUUUUCUUAAUACUUGUAGUAAUACAUUAAGACGUGAGUCAUAAAAGAUGAAAAGAAAGAAAGAAAUAAAAAUAGUAGUAAAACAAACCAAAUAAUUACUACAAAUUAGCACACACCUUGAAGAAUAUUCUUCCUCCGACAAUUUACCACAUUCCAUGUGCACAAAAUAUCUGCAUUUAUCACAAUAGUAAACCCAAGAGUUUUGCAACACGUCUUCGUUGCAGAGGCAGCAAAGUGGGAUACUCUUACGAUCCAUGUCAGGCAGAGAAUAUUUGAGGAAUAGAGGGUGACGGUGAAAACUAGGUGUGACGGUGGUUGGUGAAAAAGCACAAGUACUAUGGAUCCAAAAUGCACAUACGUGACAUUCAUAAGAGAAGUCCUCAGCUUUCAUGCCGCAAGCAUCACAUAAAAACAAGGCUUUCCUAGGCCAAAAGGUAAAUUCGUGCUUGUGUCCAUCAUGACGAAUCAAUCGAUCCUUACAUGUCAAGCACACGUCAAAGUUACAAGAAAGACAAGUGUACGUGAACCAAUUGGACACGCGGUUACAAAUAUCACAAAUGGUCGUAUCCGUUCCAUAACUACCCAAACGUGCGUGGAGGGUAAGAGGAUGUUGAUCGUGUAGAGGGUGAUGAAUUUCAUCGGGUAAUUCUGCACAGGUUUUGUGCAGGUAGAAAUCACAACCAUCUCUAGUGCAUAAAUAUACUGCAGCAUGACCAGAGGUGAGGCGGCCUCCAACGACUGGAUUUCGACACCCAUAACACACAACUAAUUCCUUUCCAAUAUGUUGAAUUAGCUCCACCUGCUCUUUGAGGAUCAGUGAGUGCUCAUGGCUAACAUGUUGAAGCUCCAUCCCUAAGUUAAAAUGUAUGUGUGGAGAGUUAAUUUGAUAGUUUAAUUUGAGCAAAUUAAAUAGCGGAUCCCCUCCCUCCAUAUAUAUAUAUAUAUAUAUAAAUAUAAACGACUAUAUAUAUUUCAUUCUCCAAAAAUAUCCAAACUCUAUUUAAUAGUAACAACUACCAAUACAGCUAUUAAACAUGACUGACCAAUAAUGCAUGUCACAGCUAGCAAUAAAUGCAUGUCACAACUAGCAAUAAUUAUUAAUUCAUAUCAAUUUGAUCUUGUCAACCUUGAUAUACUUACGGAAGAGAAUUCGAUGGUGAGAGAAUAAUUUUUUAUCCUUUGAAGUUAAAGAGGAUAUAAUGGACGGUGAGAUUUAUCCCAAACUUUGGACGAUUCUGAUCGUUUAUUAGGGUGAGUGAAAAAUUCAAAAUUAAUUAUGUUUUAUUAAUUAUAUAUAUAUAAAACAAAAUACAACUUAACUGUCACUGCUCAGUUUUUACGUAUUGCUCAUGUGAAGAAUAAAACAUAUGAACCAGCUGCUCCAAGACAUUUUCAUACAAAGAUUCACCUCUCUGCUCCUUAGACAGAUCUUGGUUUGAAUCAAUAUGUUGAAUAAAAUUUUACUUGAAUCUCCUUGAUUUUAACCGUAAAUGUCCAAUUAUUAUACUACUACUAGUUAACAAAAUAAUGAUUCUCCUUCAAAUUUCAAUGUAGUCUGUUUGAAUAAAAAUUCUUGCAGAGUCCGCCAUUCUUGGGUCUACUUCCUCCUCGCAGAUCUCGCAGUAAAUAAUGCCUUGACAAAAGAAAGGAGGGUAUUUCAAGGGAAUGGGGUGAGGAUCCCAUCUAUGUCUGACCCUACUUGGAUAUUGUGCGCAAUCUAUAUGAAUUCUAAAACUGUUGCAGGUUUCACAAAUGAAUUCCAUGUACCGUGAAGAGAUAAAUCGGCAACAUGCCUUGCACCGAAAGUACUCGGAUGGUGCAUGUUGAACUAGAGGGUGCUUGUGAGAUUUAUGUUUGAUCUUGGUAGGUAGAAAAGCACAACCAGUAUCAACCGUGAAAUUACAAGUCUCGCACCGAAAAUAGAAUCCAUUGGUCGACAAGUUACAAGUGGUACAUUUGACGCAGUUAAAAAAAUUAUCAACUCUAUGCUUUGAGAGCGAAUGUUCCGGGUGGCGUGGGCAUUCUCCUACAGGCAACUCGGGUGGCAGCUCGGCACAAACUCUGUGAAGAAAGAUACUGCAUCCAAUACAGCCAUAAAAUGGAUGGGCAGUCGAGACGGGUUUUACACACCCAUCGCAAAGAAUUUCAUCAUCAUUAUUCUUAAAACUACUUUGAUCAAAUUCUUGCAGAAGGAGUAAUGCAUGCUCCCUAUGGCUCUCGUGGUAGAUUAAGUGAUCAGGCGUUGUUGCUUUUUCCGUACCUUCUUCUUCGCCUAGAUUAAUAAUAUUGGUCUUGAAUAUGGUCUGUUAUUAGAUCCAAUAACGAUUCCUUAUUAUCCACCGGAAAGUGUAUCAAAUUAGGUAUGUUAUGGUCUGCUGCAAUCUCUUCUUCACGAUAUCUGAAACCACAAAUUAAUUAUAUAUGCCAAUAUGCCAUGCUAGACUAGUAAUAUAUUAACUAUUAAGAUCGACGUUAGUUAUAAAAGAUGAAAAGAAAGAAAGAAAUAAAAAUAGUAAAACAAACCAAAUAAUUACUACUAAUUAGCACGCACCUUGAAGAAUAUUCUUCCUCCAACAAUGUACCACAUUCCAUGUGCACAUAAUAUCUGCAUUUAUCACAAUAGUAAACCCAAGAGUUUUCCAACACGUCUUUGUUGCAGAGGCAGCAAAGUGGGGAACUAUUACGAUCCAUGUCGGGAAGAGAAUAUUUGAGGAAUAGAGGGUGAGGGUGAAAACUAGGUGUGACGGUGGUUGGAGAAAAAGCACAAGUAUUGUGGAUCCAAAAUGCACAUGCGUGACAUGCAUAAGACAUGUCCUCAGCUUUCAUGCCGCAAGCAUCACAUAAAAACAGGGUUUCCCUAGGCAAUAAGGUUAAUUCGUGCUUGUGUCCAUCAUGCCCAAUCGAUCGAUCCUUACAUGUCAAGCACAUGUCAAAGUUACAAGAAAGACAAGUGUAUUUGAACCAGUUGGACAUGCGUUUACAAAUAUCACAAGUGGUCGAAUCCAUUCCAUAACUACUCAAACGUGCGUGGAGGGUAAGAGGAUGUUGAUCGUGUAGAGGGUGUUGAAUUUCAUCGGGUAAUUCUGCACAGGUUUUGUGCAGGUAGAAAUCACAACCAUCUCUAG
rnacentral:lncRNA from 1 species